rnacentral:rRNA from 1 species
AACCUGGUUGGGUGGUCUGCCUUCACGGUACGUACUGCUUGGCCGGGUUCUACCUCUUGGUGAGCCGGCAUGCCCUUUACUGGGUGUGUCGGGGAACCAGGACUUUUACCUUGAGAAAAUUAGAGUGUUCAAAGCAGGCAUUUGCUCGAAUACAUUAGCAUGGAAUAAUAGAAUAGGACC